UCUGAAAGGAGGGGGCCUUCAACCUCAAUGAUGGGUGUCGACUGGUCUCUGCUGAUGACGUGGAUGCUCCCUCCUCCACUGGUGUCUAUCCCAUCUGCCAAGCUUGGAGAAGAGGAGCUGUCUGUGGUAUUAAGUGCUUUAGCUAAGGUAUCAAAUGCCCUGUGAGCAAAAAUGAAGCAUGUAAUUGUUGUGAAUCUACAGCUUUUAGGGGGAACAGAAUUCUAGCUAUGAUUUAGAAAAACUACAGUGGGAAAAGAUAAUUAAAUUCUACCAUAGAGAUGAGGUUUCACUAUGUUGGCCAGGCUGGUCUCAACUAUUGACUGCAGGUGAUCUACCUGCCUUGGCCUCUCAAAGUGCUGGGAUUACACACGUGAGCCACUGCAUCCGGCAAACAACGAAAGCUUGUAUGUAUUAUCUACACAUCAUCUUAGGCACUGAGCUAUGUAUUAUCUAACUUCAUGGACAGUUUCUUUCUUUUCUUUCUCUCUUUUCCUUCCUUCCUUUCUUUUCUCUCUUUCCCUCCUUCCUUCCCUCCUUUUCUUUCUCUUUGUCUCUUUCUCUUUUUCUUUCUCUCUUUCAGAGAUGGGGUCGGUCUGUCUAUCUAUCUAUCUAUCUAUCUAUCUUUUAUUUACUUUUUCAGAGAUGGGUCUCAGCUGGUCUGAAACCCCUGGGAUCAAGUGAUCCUCUUGUCUCAGCUUCUCUAAGUGCUGGGAUUACAGCUGUGAGCCACUGCACCUAGGCCCAAUUUCUGUUUUUCACAAGUACCCUCCAACGUUAAAAAUUAUCUUCCAUUUUACAGAUGUGAAUGCUGAGCUUACAGUAUCAAAAUCACAAUGACAUACCACUUCACAUCCACUGGGAUGGCUACAAUCAAAAAGAUGGAUAAUAACAAGUGUUGGUAAGGAUGUGGAGAAAUCAGAACCUUCCUACACAGUUGGUGAGAAUGUAAAGUGGUAUAACACAAAUGUCCAUCAAUUGACUAAUGGAUAAAUAAAAUGUGGUAUAGCCAUACAAAGGUGUAUUAUUAUAAUGGCUGGGCGUGGUGGCUCACGCCUGUAAUCCCAGCACUUUGGGAGGCCAAGGCAGGCAGAUCACCUAAGGUCAGGAGUUCAAGACCAGCCUGACCAACAUGGUAAAACCUCAUCUCUACUAAAAACACAAAAUUGGCCAGGAGCGGCUAAUUUUUGUAUUUUUAGUAGAGAUAGGGUUUCACCAUGUUGGUCAGGCUGGUCUUUAACUCCUGACCUCACGAUCCGCCCGCCUCGGCCUCCCAAAGUGCUGGGAUNNNNNNNNNNNNNNNNNNNNNNNNNNNNNNNNNNNNNNNNNNNNNNNNNNNNNNNNNNNNNNNNNNNNNNNNNNNNNNNNNNNNNNNNNNNNNNNNNNNUGCAGUGAGCCGAGAUCGCACCAUUGCACUCCAGCCUGGGCGACAGAGCGAGACUCCAUCUCAAAACAAAACACACAAAAUUAGCCGGGUGUGGUGGCACAUGCCUGUAAUCCCAGCUACUCGGGAGGCUGAGGCAGGAGAAUUGCUUGAACUCAGCAGGCAGAAGUUGCAGUGAGCCGAGGUGGCACCACUGCACUCUAGCCAGGGAAACAAGAGCGAAACUCUUGUCUUUAAAAAAAAAAAACAGAGGUGCAUUAUUUGGCAAUAAAAAGGAAUGAAGUACUGAUACAUGCUAUAUCAUGAUGACCCUUAAAAACAUCAUGCUAAGUGAAAGAAGCCAGCCACAAAAGACCAUAUAUUGUAUGAUUUCCUUUAUAUGAAAUGUACAGAGUUGACAAAACCAUAGAGUCAGAAAGCAGAUUAGUGGUUGGUAGGGUUUGAGAAGAGGGGAAAAGGGGGAGUGACUACAUAAUAGGGUUUGGGGUUUGUUCUGAGGUGACGAAAAUAUUCUAAAACUAGAUAGUGGGGAUGGUUUGUACAACCUUGUAAAUAUACCAAAAACCACUACAUUAUACACUAAAAGGGUGAGUUUUAUGGCAUGUGAAUUAUAUUUCAAUUAAAAACGAAAGCCAGGGGUAGUGGCUCAUGCCUGUAAUCCCAGCACUUUGGGAGGCCGAGGCAGGCAGAUCACAAGGUUAGGAGUUCGAGACCAGCCUGGCCAAUAUGGUGAAACCCAGUCUCUACUAAAAAUACAAAAAUUAGCCGGACAUGGUGGUGAGUGCCUGUAAUCCCAGUUACUUGCGAGGCUGAGGUAGGAAAAUCGCUUGAACCUGGGAGGCGGAGGCUGCAGUGAGCCAAGACGCGGCACCACUGCACUCCAACCUGGGCGACAGAGCAAGACUCUGCCUCAAAAAAAAAAGAAAAAGAAAAAAGAAAUGCCCACCUUCAAGUGGGCCCUUAAUAGAAUGCAUUUCCUAUGCCACAAUUUGUAGAGGAACCCUUCUAAUUUCCAACUCAAGUCUGAAUAGCUUCUGCAAACUGUUUAAUGGGUGUCAAUUUUAUAUCAUGCUAGCAAACUCUCCUUUUAGCAGUCUAAUAUAAGAGCAGAUAUGCAUGUUAGAAGCAACUGAAGAAAAUGAAAGCUUUUUAAAGACAAAACUGAUGAAGGUCAGGGACUAACAUUCAGAUAUGCUGCUAAUCAAACUGCUAUCCAGUUGAAUAUUGUGUUUGCAGCUACAGCUGUGAUCACAAGAAAACUGAUUUCAGUCAUUGCUCUCAGUAAAAAUAUUCAUCAUUGAGAAAAAGGACAGCUUGGCAAUGUGGGCCAGUCCCACACCAAGUCAGUGAUUUAUUUAUUCACUUUGGGCAAAGCGCAGUAUCAUUAGAUAAAAUAAAAACAUCACACCAGGCAGAAAUUAGGUUGAUAUUUCUAAUUUCUCAAAAAAUACAUUUCCAUUUAUUCUCCAGUGAAUUUUGUGGAUUCCCGUUCCCAGAAACAUCAACAGCAAUACUGAAAUAUAUUGGUUUUCAGAGUUCCUAGAAAACUAUGCAAAAGAUGACAGAACCAUGCAGCAUACUCAGCGGAAGCCUGCAGUCCUGGGUCCUCGGCCACCAGCCUUGCCAUGCAAGUUGCAUGCCUUGCUCUGCUAAGCUCCAUUUUCCUACUGUGGCUUAAGCCAAACUCCACUCUCCUUGGAUUUCUUUGUGCUGCCCAUCUUGAGUCCUGGUCUUCAUGUUUUCACCACUAGCUAGGGAAGUGACCUCCAUGCUGAUUGGUCCCUGAAAACCCCCAAAAUUCUGUCUAUGGGAGUGGAAAGGAGGGGACUGAGACCUUCCCUGGCUGCCCCACACAUCCAGGAGCAAUAGCUUUCUCUUUAGAAUCCCAGCUACACAGAGGCUUGGCAAAGGACCUUACCCCAAAAGAAAGUAGAGGGGCUAAGAAGACAGGGAGUAGGCUCAUGUAAUCCUCAGGAGCAAUAUAUAAGUAAGGUGAUUAAGUAGAUCACAGAUGAGGACCCUGUGGCUGACAGGCUACGUGUGUCCUCAGGCGUCAUAGCUCUCUCUUAGUGGCACACCUGGAGGUAGAUUUGGUAUCAGCUUUCCUCCAAAGCCUGUGUUCAACCCACUCCACUAAGCUGCCUCCUGAUGCAUCUGGAAUAAGGCUUUCCACACACACAGCAGGAAGAGACCAACCCCUGCAGCGUUGGCUCUCAAUCACCUGGCUGACCCAUGAGGUAAACCAAAAUGAAGCCUGAGUGCAUAUUUUUUUCUUAAAGUAUUUUAAGGCCAGGUAUAGAAACCUUAUUUAAUGGACUCAUUUACUCUCUCCCUCCACAUUUACUCAUGUGGUUUUUAAAUAUUGUUACUCACAUUCCAUUUUCAUGCCCAUCUCUAAGCAUUUUUUCAGCCGGCAAAACUGACAGCGGUUCCGGUGAUGUUUAUUGAUGAUGCAGUCUUGGUUGCUCCGGCAGCUGUAGGUCAAAUUUUUCCUCACACUCCUUUUGAAGAAACCUUUGCAACCUUCACAACUGACAGCCCCAUAGUGACGGCCUGAAACAGGAGAAAGAAUACACAAAUAUUUUGUGACUAUAUUUGUGGAUUCACCAAAGAGGUGAUCUGUCAGUUCCUGUGCAAGUCUCAUUGAAGUGAUGGGUGCCGUACACUGUUAGGUGCCAACAGCCAUGUGGCCUGAGCAUUAAGUGUACUGGCCACACCCUUCACGUAAUUUCUCUACCAUCUUUCAAGUAGCCUUAUGAGUUCAUGAUGGAAAUACUGAAACUCAGACAGGUUAUAUGACAGCUGGCAGAUGGCAUGACCUUAGUGCUCUUAGUAUACAAAUGGUCUAACAUACAGUAGGAGCUCACAGGUGACGGCUGAACUCUACUGUCCACUUGAACACACCCGGGUCCUAUUCCUGGCGAUCUGGGCUUGUGAUGCGGCUCAGGGCCCCUGUCCUGCCACGAGUGGCACAUAGCAAACACGUGCAUGUGUGGCUUUGGCACAGAGGGUCUCACUCCUGCAUUUAGCCCCUCUCUGAUUCACGUCCUGGGCCCGAAACCUCCCCUGGGGAAGCGGGAUAGUCACAGGGAGAAGCAUGGGGACUGUCACUGCCGAAGCCCACAGCAAAAGAGGAUUACCAUAUGGUUCCACCUGGGCUAGCCACUCAAAGCCUUCUAGAAACACAGUUCUAGGAAUGCAUUUAUUAAAAAAUAGUUCAUUUUUCUAAUCUUGUUUUACUUUGGUGUCUCUUUUUAUUUCUGAUACACUGUAAUUGUCCGUGUCCAUAUUUAUGAGGCAUAAUUUGAUAUUUCAAUAUAUCCAUGUUGUAUAAUGAUCAAAUCAGAUAGAGUGACCAUCACCUUAUGCAUUUAUCAUUUCUUUGUAAUAAGGACAUUCAAAAGCCUUUCUUCUAGGUAUUUUAUAAUAUAUAAUACCUUAUUGUUAGCUAUGGCUACAGUGCAAUAGAACACCAGAACUUGUUCCUACUACUUAACUGUAACUUUGUACCAGUUGGUCAGUCUUUCCCAACUAUCUCUUUUCCCCUCCCGAGUCUUGGUGCCAUUAUUCUACUCUCUGUUUCUAUGAUAUCAAUUUUUUUUUAAAGGAUUCCACAUGAGUGAGAUCGUAUUUGUCUUUCUGUGUCUGGCUUAUUUCAGGUAACAUGAUGUCCUCCAUAUUCAUCUAUGUUGUCACAAAGAGCAGGAUUUCAUUCAGUUUUAUGUAUUCCACUGUGUUACAUACUACAU
rnacentral:lncRNA from 1 species